UACUGCAGUCGAGCGCGGGAAGCAAGCUGAUCCUCUUCGGAGGUGACGCUUGUGGAACGAGCGGCGGACGGGUGAGUAACACGUGGGCAACCUGCCUGUAAGACUGGGAUAACCCCGGGAAACCGGGGCUAAUACCGGAUAAUACUUUUCAUCACCUGAUGAGAAGUUGAAAGGUGGCUUUUAGCUACCACUUACAGAUGGGCCCGCGGCGCAUUAGCUAGUUGGUGAGGUAACGGCUCACCAAGGCAACGAUGCGUAGCCGACCUGAGAGGGUGAUCGGCCACACUGGGACUGAGACACGGCCCAGACUCCUACGGGAGGCAGCAGUAGGGAAUCUUCCGCAAUGGACGAAAGUCUGACGGAGCAACGCCGCGUGAGUGAUGAAGGUUUUCGGAUCGUAAAGCUCUGUUGUUAGGGAAGAACAAGUGCCGUUCGAAUAGGGCGGCACCUUGACGGUACCUAACCCAGAAAGCCCCGGCUAACUACGUGCCAGCAGCCGCGGUAAUACGUAGGGGGCAAGCGUUGUCCGGAAUUAUUGGGCGUAAAGCGCGCGCAGGCGGUCCUUUAAGUCUGAUGUGAAAGCCCACGGCUCAACCGUGGAGGGUCAUUGGAAACUGGAGGACUUGAGUACAGAAGAGGAGAGUGGAAUUCCACGUGUAGCGGUGAAAUGCGUAGAGAUGUGGAGGAACACCAGUGGCGAAGGCGACUCUCUGGUCUGUAACUGACGCUGAGGCGCGAAAGCGUGGGGAGCGAACAGGAUUAGAUACCCUGGUAGUCCACGCCGUAAACGAUGAGUGCUAGGUGUUAGGGGGUUUCCGCCCCUUAGUGCUGAAGUUAACGCAUUAAGCACUCCGCCUGGGGAGUACGGCCGCAAGGCUGAAACUCAAAAGAAUUGACGGGGGCCCGCACAAGCGGUGGAGCAUGUGGUUUAAUUCGACGCAACGCGAAGAACCUUACCAGGUCUUGACAUCCUCUGCAAUCGGUAGAGAUACCGAGUUCCCUUCGGGGACAGAGUGACAGGUGGUGCAUGGUUGUCGUCAGCUCGUGUCGUGAGAUGUUGGGUUAAGUCCCGCAACGAGCGCAACCCUUGAUCUUAGUUGCCAGCAUUUAGUUGGGCACUCUAAGGUGACUGCCGGUGACAAACCGGAGGAAGGUGGGGAUGACGUCAAAUCAUCAUGCCCCUUAUGACCUGGGCUACACACGUGCUACAAUGGAUGGAACAAAGGGAAGCAAAACCGCGAGGUCAAGCAAAUCCCAUAAAACCAUUCUCAGUUCGGAUUGCAGGCUGCAACUCGCCUGCAUGAAGCCGGAAUCGCUAGUAAUCGCGGAUCAGCAUGCCGCGGUGAAUACGUUCCCGGGCCUUGUACACACCGCCCGUCACACCACGAGAGUUGGUAACACCCGAAGUCGGUGAGGUAACCUUUUGGAGCCAGCCGCCGAAGGUGGGACCAAUGAUUGGGGUGAAGUCGUAACAAGGUAGAUGACCAGACCCGGGUUUC
rnacentral:rRNA from 1 species